GAUGAACGCUGGCGGCGUGCCUAAUACAUGCAAGUCGAGCGAACGGACGAGAAGCUUGCUUCUCUGAUGUUAGCGGCGGACGGGUGAGUAACACGUGGAUAACCUACCUAUAAGACUGGGAUAACUUCGGGAAACCGGAGCUAAUACCGGAUAAUAUUUUGAACCGCAUGGUUCAAAAGUGAAAGACGGUCUUGCUGUCACUUAUAGAUGGAUCCGCGCUGCAUUAGCUAGUUGGUAAGGUAACGGCUUACCAAGGCAACGAUGCAUAGCCGACCUGAGAGGGUGAUCGGCCACACUGGAACUGAGACACGGUCCAGACUCCUACGGGAGGCAGCAGUAGGGAAUCUUCCGCAAUGGGCGAAAGCCUGACGGAGCAACGCCGCGUGAGUGAUGAAGGUCUUCGGAUCGUAAAACUCUGUUAUUAGGGAAGAACAUAUGUGUAAGUAACUGUGCCCAUCUUGACGGUACCUAAUCAGAAAGCCACGGCUAACUUCGUG
rnacentral:rRNA from 1 species